UACGUAGGGGGCAAGCGUUGUCCGGAUUUAUUGGGCGUAAAGCGCUCGCAGGUGGUUCGUUGCGUCGUGCGUGAAAGACCCCGGCUCAACUGGGGAGGGUCGUGCGAUACGGGCGGACUGGAGGCCAGUAGGGGGAUGCGGAAUUCCGGGUGUAGUGGUGGAAUGCGUAGAGAUCCGGAAGAACACCGGUGGCGAAGGCGGCCUGCUGGGCUAUGGCUCGACACGUGAGGCGCGACAGCGUGGGGAGCAAACAGGG
rnacentral:rRNA from 1 species